rnacentral:rRNA from 1 species
AUGCUAACAGAGGAGGAGAAGACCAUGCAAGUCCUUGGGGUUGGGUGCGGCAACUCGCUGCUCGAAGACAAUCUUUUGGUGGUGGGGCGUCGCUGCCGCCGGCGGCACCUGCAUAGACCGUCUCGCUGGGAACGAAGAGAUGCUCCCCUGAUUUGGAGCUGUAGAAAGGAGGUGGUUGCAGACACAAAGUGGGGACACACAACUCCCAGUCAUAAUAUUCUUUAUCUUGGCUCGUUGUUUGGGGAUGGACGCAUCAAUCUGAUCGCGCUCUCCUCCAUGCCAAACGGAUCCUUGGUUCGGAGGUGCGCGGCGCCGACGAUGACAACCUUUCUAUCGACGCAAGGGCAGCAGGAGCUCAUGACGCUGUUGAUGCCACCACCAUGCACAGGGUUGAUGCAAGGUGGGACAAGUAUGUAUACCAGUGCGAUCACUAAUGGGGAGAACAUAAACUUCAAUUGA